CUCAGGUGAGUGGGCACUCAGUGGUCACUCAGUGGUCACUCAGUGGUCACUCGGAGCAGUCACUCCCGGGAGUGGACACUCGCUGGGCACUCGGUGGUCACAGGUGAGUGGGCACUCAGUGGUCACUCAGUGGUCACUCGGUGGUCACUCAGGUGAGUGGGCACUCAGUGGUCAGUGGUCACUCAGUGGUCACUCAGUGGUCACUCGGUGGUCACUCAGUGGUCACUCCGGUGAGUGGUCAGUGGUCACUCGGAGCGGUCACUCCGGGGAGUGGACACUCGCUGGGCACUCGGUGGUCACUCAGGUGAGUGGGCACAGGUGAGUGGGCACUCAGUGGUCACUCAGUGGUCACUCGGUGGUCACUCAGGUGAGUGGGCACUCGGUGGUCACUCAGUGGUCACUCCGGUGAGUGGUCAGUGGGCACUCGGAGCGGUCACUCCGGUGAGUGGACACUCGCUGGGCACUCGGUGGUCACUCAGGGUCACUCAUGCUCCGGCCCUGGCUCCUCGUGGCUCUGCUGCUGCUCCGGGGGGACCCGGGGGGGUCUCAGGGGGACCCCCGGGAGAGCCUUCAUCACCUCCAUCAUCAUCCUCAUCACCCUCAUCAUCCUCGGGAGGAGGAGACACAGCCUGACCUUCAUCACCCUCCUCAUCCUCAUCCUCAUCAUCCUCGGGAGGAAGAGCCGCAGCCUGACCUUCAUCAUCAUCAUCCUCAUCAUCAUCACCCUCAUCAUCCUCGGGAGGAAGAGCAGCAGCCCGACCUUCAUCACCUUCAUCACCCUCAUCAUCCUCGGCCGGGGGAGGAAGAGCAGCAGCCUGACCUUCAUCACCCUCCUCAUCCUCGGCCGGGGGAGGAAGGCCGCAGCCCCCCCCGAGAGCACGAGGAGGGGGGCGGGGAGGAAGAGCAGAGCCUUCAUCACCAUCACCACCAUCACCAUCAUCAUCAUCAGCAGCAGCAGCAGCAGCAGCGGAGGGAUGAAGGCUCCGCCGGCGACCGCCACCAUCAUCAUCCUCAUCAGCAGGAGGAGGGGGAGGAAGAGCCCCUGGGCCACCAUCAUCAUCAUCAUCAUCCUCACCAUCAUCAUCCUCAUCAGCAGGAGGGGGAGGAAGAGCCCCUGGGCCACCAUCAUCAUCCUCACCAUCAUCAUCCUCACCAUCAGGAGGGGGAGGAAGAGCCCCCAGACCACCAUCAUCAUCCUCACCAUCAUCACCAUCAGGAGGGGGAGGAAGGCCGCCAGGGCGAGGAUGACGAAGGCCACCGCCGUCGCCAUGACGAUGAGGAUGGUGAAGGCCACCGGGGCGAGGAAGGCCAUCGCCACGGCGACGAGGGUGACGAGGGUGACGAAGGCCACCGGAGCGAUGAAGGCCAGCGCCGUCACCGUGAUGAGGAUGAUGAAGGCCACCGCCAUCGCCAUGACGACCACGAGGAGGAUGAAGGCCACCGCGGUGAUGAGGAUGAUGAAGGCCACCGGAGCGAUGAAGGCCAGCGCCGUCACCGUGACGAUGAUGAGGAUGAUGAAGGCCACCACGGUGAUGAAGAUGAUGAAGGCCACCACGGUGACGAAGAGGAGGAUGAAGGCCACCGCCCCCAUGAGGAUGAGGAGGAUGAAGGCCAGCCCCUCCCCCACCAAGGCCGCAGCCCCU
ensembl:lncRNA